rnacentral:rRNA from 1 species
UGGGCGAAAGCCUGAUCCAGCAAUGCCGCGUGCAGGAUGAAGGCCCUCGGGUUGUAAACUGCUUUUGUACGGAACGAAAAGCCUGGGGCUAAUAUCCCCGGGUCAUGACGGUACCGUAAGAAUAAGCACCGGCUAACUACGUGCCAGCAGCCGCGGUAAUACGUAGGGUGCAAGCGUUAAUCGGAAUUACUGGGCGUAAAGCGUGCGCAGGCGGUUUUGUAAGACAGUGGUGAAAUCCCCGGGCUCAACCUGGGAACUGCCAUUGUGACUGCAAGGCUAGAGUGCGGCAGAGGGGGAUGGAAUUCCGCGUGUAGCAGUGAAAUGCGUAGAUAUGCGGAGGAACACCGAUGGCGAAGGCAAUCCCCUGGGCCUGCACUGACGCUCAUGCACGAAAGCGUGGGGAGCAAACAGGAUUAGAUACCCUGGUAGUCCACGCCCUAAACGAUGUCAACUGGUUGUUGGGUCUUAACUGACUCAGUAACGAAGCUAACGCGUGAAGUUGACCGCCUGGGGAG